UACAGAGGGUGCAAGCGUUGUUCGGAAUUAUUGGGCGUAAAGGGCGCGUAGGCGGUGCGGUAAGUCUGUAGUGAAAUCUCUGGGCUCAACUCAGAGUCUGCUGCAGAAACUGCCGUGCUUGGGUGUGGGAGAGGUGAGUGGAAUUCCCGGUGUAGCGGUGAAAUGCGUAGAUAUCGGAAGGAACACCUGUGGCGAAGGCGGGUCUCUGGACAGUUCCUGACACUGAGGCACGAAGGCCAGGGGAGCAAACGGG
rnacentral:rRNA from 1 species